rnacentral:lncRNA from 1 species
AAUCAGAGCCACAGCUGCUGGCCUAUACCACAGCCACAGCAACACCAGAUCACAGCCGCUCCAAGACCUAUGCUGCAACUUAUGGCAAUGCCAGAAACUUAACCUACUGAGCUAGGCCAGGGAUCAAACCCCUGCAUCCUUAUGGAUACUAGUCAGGUUCUUAAUCCACUGAGCUACAAUGGGAACUCUGCUAAAAUCUUUUUUUAAAUUAAUUAAUUUAUUUUUUUUUUAGAGCUGCACUUGAAGUAUGUGGAAGUUCCCAGGCUAGGGGUCGAAUCACAGCUGCAGCUGCUGGCCUAUGCCACAGUCAAAGCAAUGCAGGAUCUGAGAUGCAUCUGCAACCUACACAGCUCGUGGCAAAGCCAGAUCCUUAACCCACUGAGCAAGGCCAGGGAUUGAACCUGCAUCCUCAUGGAUACCAGUUGGUGGGUUUUGUUUCUUCCUUGUGUAAGGGGUCUAAGGAAAAAUGAUGAAUUUUUACAAAGUAAAAUAAAAAUGUGGAAGAGAAUUUUCCAUGAUAGCAUUGGGAUUGUUGAAUACCAGUUCUGAAAUAUAAGGCACAGAUUCUGAGUCUUCUUGUCUAACCUUUCUUGCUUAUUGGGUAAAUAUAAAAAUGAUGAAAUUCAUGACUGGAAAAUACCCUUUUAACUCUAAAGACUCUGAGAUUACUAAAAAGACUGUAAAGAAAGUAAUUUUAUUUUCCUCAUUUUGUUUUUUUCUUUUGAUUCAUUGUCUUUGAAUUUCUUUCUUUAACACCAAUCUUUUUUUUUUCUUCUUUUUUUUUUCAGGGGACAGCACGAAUGCAGUCCCCCACUACCACAAAUUAUGCAGUCGAGUUCCCACAUUUGGGGAAAUCGCAGGAGUCAGCACAUCCGGAGUGCAGUGGAUAAGCCUGGUGCUGGGAAAACCACCCUCGUGAUCAUGGUAUCUCCCCUGCCAGGUAAGUAUUUUAACACCAAUCUUAAUUCUACAUUUCAUCCUUAGAAACUAAUGGAGUUCUGGUGAUAUCAUCAAGACGUAAAAUAUGUUCCUGACUUCAGUUCCCUUCAUAGGAAGACCAGCAAUUAUUCAUAGAUAAGAUACUGUUGUAUAAAUUCUAGAACACAGGGGUGAGGUUGUAGCAUCCUCCUGGAUCGUGGAGACCAAGAAGGACAGACUUAGAAGGGUAAGAGGAAUGUCUGCAGUCUGACUGCAUCUCCCCUCCCCCAAGUUGGUACAGCAUCACACUGAGAGGCAUCCCCUGGGCCUACGACUUCCCCAGAGGGAGAAAGAGAGUCCACAGUGGACACCCAACUCUCCCAGCAUUGUGUGUCACUUCCUGGGAAGCCCGUUAAGGUCUCAUCUUAUGGGAUUGCAAGGGGAAUGCAUGGGGCUUGAGUAUUGGAGGUGAGAUUAUGAUGGAUAAAAAGGGCAGCACUUAUAGUAACCAGCACUCAGAUCUUGGCAGACUGAAUUGCUACUCAUAAGAGGGCACAGGUAGAAAUCCAAACCAGUAAUUUUCCCAUCUGCAGAGCCAAAAUGGCAGCCCAAUCUGGCCAGGAAACUCGAUGUGUGGUACUGCCUGAUUCAGAAUCCCAAGCCUUGUUUGCCUUGGAGCCUGUUCUGACACCUGCUCCAACCCAAGGCAGAGACACUAUUUCAUAGCCUUGCCUACUGCUGAGUGUAGCCCCCAUCAUUGCCUGACCAGGAAGCCUUGCCAGAGUGCCUGGAGAGCUGUAUAGACCAGAAGGGCUCAAGAAAAGGGCCUAAUUAGCAGGUCUGGCCUUCUCUAGAGCCAGGACAGUGGCUCCUCUGGACAGGUAACUCAGCAUGCAGUUCUGCCUAAACUGAGCCCUGAAACAAUAAACUUUGCUGGUCUUGUUGCCUGUUCUGCCAUGUUAUUCAGGCAGAAAGCUAAUUCAUAGCCUUGUCCACUACUGAGUAAAGCCUUCACUUCGCUAUUGAGUGACCGACCAGGAAACCUGGACAGAGCACCCAAUAAGCUGCAUGGUUCAGUGGCACUUGAGCAGAGAGUCUAGUCAGUGGCUCUGUCUUUGUGCAGAUUGAAGUUGGCAGUCCUAUUUGGCCAUAGAAUUUGCUAUUAGUUUUGCCUGAGAUGGGACCCCCCCCCCAAAAAAAUGAGCUUUAUCAGCCUUGGAGCCUAUUCCACUGCCAUCUUCCUCCCCAAUUAGGGAAACAUAGCCCCACCCACUGCUGAGGUAACAUUUUGCCUCACUCAAUUGUGGAGCCCAGCUGGAACACCUGGGAAGCUGUGUGGUCCAGUAGACUAGAACAGAGAGCUUGGCCAGUGGAUUUUCCCAGCUGCAGGGCCAAACCCUCAAUCUGGCUAAGAAGCUUCAUGUACAAUUCUGCCUGAUUUGAGACCUCAGCAAUAGCCUUGCCAACUCUGAAGCUUAUUCUUCUGCCCUGCCCAGGCAAGAAAGUUAAUUCACAGUCCUGUCUACUGCUGAGUGACACCCCAGCCCCACCUGACAGGAAACCUCACCAGACUACCUAGAAAGAGCCUUGCAGUAUUUGAGCAGAAAGCCUGGCCACCUGUAGAGCCAAGUCAGUUGAUCUGUCUGGCCAGGCAGUUGGUGUACAGCCGUACUUGGUUUAGUCCCCAAAUAAGGAGACUCCUCAGCCUUGAAGCCUGUCGUGUGGCCCAAACUAAGCAAGAAAGCUAAUCUAUAGCAUGAAAUACAGUAUUAAAAACCUACCCAACCGUAGAAGAGCAUUCAAAAAGCUAUGUAGCCCAUUCUACAGACUGCUUACAGUGGCAUGUAAGCCUAGCCAGUGGCUCUGCUUGUCUGAAGAACAAAGCCAGUUGGUCCUUCUGUCUAGGGAUCUCAGUGCACAUAUCUGCCUGCUUUGGGGCCCCCCAAAACAAGUCAUAUAAGCCUAGGGUCCAUUCUGCUACUUAAACCAGCAUUAAAGCUAAUUCACAGCAUUGCUUUCUGCUGAGUUUAGUGUCCAGUCUCUUCCUUCCAUUCAUGCCCCCCUAACUAGGAAGCAUGGUAAGAAUUUAAGAAACUGCAGAGCCCAUCCCACAGCCCUUCUUGGGCAAGCAACCAAGCCAGCAGUUCUAU